rnacentral:rRNA from 1 species
AUUGAACGCUGGCGGCAGGCUUAACACAUGCAAGUCGAGCGAGCGGCGGACGGGUGAGUAAUGUCUGGGAAACUGCCUGAUGGAGGGGGAUAACUACUGGAAACGGUAGCUAAUACCGCAUACCAUCAGAUGUGCCCAGAUGUGAUUAGCUAGUGGGUGGGGUAAUGGCUAACCUAGGCGACGAUCCCUAGCUGGUCUGAGAGGAUGACCGGCCAAACUGGAACUGAGAAACGGUCCAGACUCCACCGGGAGGCAGCAGUGGGGAAUAUGGGACAAUGGGCGCAAGCCUGAUGCAGCAAGCCGGGGUGGGUGAAGAAGGCCUUGGGGUUGUAAGGUACGUUCAGCGAGGAGGCGUUACUCGCAGAAGAAGCACCGGCUAACUCCGUGCCAGCAGCCGCGGUAAUAC